ACGCCCUGCAGGAACACAGAGCUCAUCAGAUGGCGGCAUCGAGAGCUAAUGUGUGAGCGAUGGUUCAAGGGCACCACAAACACAGCGUCAAACGGGCCUACCUAAAGCGUUACACACCUGGCUGCUUGGCAUCGUUGGGUUUCAGGCAACGCACGUACCACGGCUCCUUGGACAUGAGGAUUUCUGUCAGGCCCAUCAAGCUGCUCUUGAACUGAGUGGCUACCUACAAGUCAAUAAGAGAGGGUUGCUCCACCCCCUGUGUCCAGGCAGGGUGUGCUCACCAAGACGGAGAUUAUCCCAUGGUGUUUCUCCUCCACCAGGUCACAGAUAAUCUUGUUGUUGAAGAACGGAACAGGCUCCCACUGCAAUCAACAUGGACAACAUAGAGAACAUAGACUUUAAACAGACUCAACGACCAAGACACCACACAAUGACUCUCUGCAGCAGACAGGAUGCAGCACUGGGUAAACAUAAAGAGCCAUGUGAAAGUGCGGCCAUAGAUUGCUUUAGCCAAAGCAUUUCUGGCAUAGACUGCAUGGUCCACUGUGAAAGGGCUGAGGACCUGGAAACCACAAGGGACAGGAUUGACUAUUUUUUUGUCGGACCCAGGGACUGUAAGUGAUCGACUAGCUCUCUGUCUGCACAGCAUGACAUCAGUAGACUGGCUUUGACAAACUAACUUGGAUGACUUGUAUUUUUAAGCAUUCAAACUUGUACUGAAGCAAUUCACGGUAACUGACACUACACAAUAAUGGGUGAUACUCAUUAUAAAUAUAGUGCUUCUGAAUAUGUACAAUGAACUGGUGCUUUUUGAUAUAUUAUUUCUGUAUUUGGUGAUCAGACUCAUCAAACAAACACCAGAUGGACUGAAAAGGUAGCAUU